rnacentral:misc_RNA from 1 species
GAUGAAGAACGUAGCGAAAUGCGAUAAGUAAUGUGAAUUGCAGAAUUCAGUGAAUCAUCGAAUCUUUGAACGCACCUUGCGCUCCUUGGUAUUCCGAGGAGCAUGCCUGUUUGAGUGUCAUGAAAUUCUCAACCUUUUCAGCUUUCUUUGUUGAUCAGGCUUGGAUGUGGGAGUAUGCGGGCUUCUCAGAAGUCGGCUCUCCUGAAAUGCAUUAGCGGGACCUUUGUUGCCUGGCUUUGGUGUGAUAAUUAUCUACGCCAUUGUAGUCAAGCAGCUUAAAAUGAGGUUUCAGCUUCUAACCGUUUCCCCUGAGACAACUUUUUGACAAUUUGACCUCAAAUCAGGUAGGACUACCCGCUGAACUUAAGCAUAUCAAUAAGCGGAGGA